AGAGUUUGAUCUGGUCAGAACGAACGCUGGCGGCGUGGAUUAGGCAUGCAAGUCGAGCGCGAUAGGUUUGGUGCUUGCAUUGAACCUUGAAAGCGGCGAAAGGGAGAGUAACGCGUAGGGUACCUACCCCUGGGUUCGGGAUAGCGGCGGGAAACUGCCGGUAAUACCGGAUAAUGUCCCCGGACCAAAGGUGUGAUUCCGCCUAGGGAUGGUCCUGCGUCCUAUUAGCUAGUUGGUGAGAUAACGGCCCACCAAGGCGACGACGGGUAGCUGGUCUGAGAGGGUGGCCCCCCGCACUGGCACUGAAACACGGGCCAGACACCUACGGGUGGCAGCAGUAGGGAAUAUUGGUUAAUGUGCGAAAGCGCGAACCAGCAACGCCGCGUGUGCGAUGACGGCCUUCGGGUUGUAAAGCACUUUUAGAAGGGAUGAGGAAGGACAGUACCCUGCGAAUAAGCCUCGGCUAACUACGUGCCAGCAGCCGCGGUAAAACGUAGGAGGCGAGCGUUAUCCGGAUUUACUGGGCGUAAAGCGCGUGCAGGUGGUUUGGUAAGUUGGAUGUGAAAGCUCCUGGCUUAACUGGGAGAGGUCGUUCAAUACUACCAGACUUGAGGAUGGGAGAGGGAGGUGGAAUUCCGGGUGUAGUGGUGAAAUGCGUAGAUAUCGGGAGGAACACCUGAGGCGUAGGCGGUUUUCUAAGCCACUCCUGACGCUGAAUCACGAAAGCUAGGGUAGCGAACGGGAUUAGAGACCCCGGUAGUCCUAGCAGUAAACGAUGUAGACUUGGUGUCGGAGGUGUCAAAACCUUCGGUAUCGUAGCUAACGCGAUAAGUCUACCGCCUGGGGACUACGGCCGCAAGGUUAAAACUCAAAGGAAUUGACGGGGGCCCGCACAAGCGGUGGAGCAUGUGGUUCAAUUCGACGCAACGCGAAGAACCUUACCUGGAUUUGACAUCCUUCGACAGCUCCGGAAACGGAGUCUUCCCUGCUUGCAGGGACAGAGUGACAGGUGCUGCAUGGCUGUCGUCAGCUCGUGUCGUGAGAUGUUGGGUUAAGUCCCGCGACGAGCGCAACCCCUCUCUCUAGUUGCCCGUAUUCAGUUAGGCACUCUAGAGAUACUGCCUCGGUUAACGGGGAGGAAGGUGGGGACGACGUCAAGUCCUCAUGGCCUUUAUAUCCAGGGCUACACACGUGCUACAAUGGGCGGUACAAAGGGCUGCAAUCCCGCGAGGGUGAGCGAAUCCCACAAAGCCGGUCUCAGUUCGGAUUGGAGUCUGCAACUCGACUCCAUGAAGCCGGAGUUGCUAGUAAUCCUGGAUCAGCACGCCAGGGUGAAUACGUUCCCGGGCCUUGUACACACCGCCCGUCACACCACGAAAGUCGGCAACACCCGAAGCCGGUGGUCCAACCCGUAAGGGGGG
rnacentral:rRNA from 1 species